AUGGUCAAAUGGGGCGUCGCGGCCUGCAAGUGCGAGUGCAAAGAUCCCCUUCCCCGGUCGUUGGGUCGUUCCGUGCGGCUGCGCCCGUCUUCUUCCUCCGGCCAAAACCAACGAAAUAAUAAAACACCAAAAAUACCGAGUCAAAAACGCCCCCGCGACAAGGUCCCUCGGGCCACCUCCGCGUCCAGCGUCCUCCAACCCCCCUCCCCUCCCUUCCCGACCCAAUCCGGAGAGCCCGAUCCCGCCAUGGCGUCGGAGAUCGAGGUCCUCGAGGACACGACCGCCGCCGCGGCCGCGGUCGCCUCCCCCGCCGGGGCCGGCGGGGCGGCCGCCGCGGGGGAGGCGGAGGCGGCGGAGGAGGAGUCGCUCAAGGACGACGUGUACACGGGCGCCGCGUACGGGGACCUUGAGAAGCUGCACCGCCUCGUCGAGCUGGAGGGCCGGUCGGUGACGGAGCCCGACGGCCUCGGCUACCACGCGCUUCAGUGGGCCGCCCUCAACAACCGCGUCGCCGCCGCCCAGUACAUCCUCGAGCACGGAGCAGAUGUAAAUGCUAUAGACCAUACAGGGCAAACAGCACUUCACUGGAGUGCAGUGCGUGGUCAUAUUCAAGCUGCAGAACUACUUCUGAAAGAAGGAGCUAAGGUUGAUGCUGCUGAUUUAUAUGGAUAUCAGACCACACAUGUUGCAGCACAGUAUGGUCAGACAGCAUUUCUUUAUCACAUUAUUUCAAAAUGGAAUGCUGAUCCUGAUGUCCCUGACAAUGAUGGCAGAAGUCCGCUUCACUGGGCUGCUUAUAAGGGAUUUGCAGACUCCAUACGCCUCCUUUUGUUUUUGGGUGCUUAUAGGGGGCGGCAAGAUAAAGAAGGUUGUACUCCUUUACACUGGGCUGCCAUUCGGGGGAAUAUGGAGUCAUGCACUGUGUUAGUUCAGGUUGGUAAGAAGGAGGACCUUAUGGUGCAAGACAAUACUGGGUUAACUCCAGCCCAACUUGCUGCUGAUAAGAGUCACCGGCAAGUUGCAUUUUACCUUGGGAAUGCUAGAAAAGUGCAUGAAAGAGGAUGUGGUGGGAACAAUUAUUUUGGGAAACUAUCAAAAUUAGGACUUGCCCCUGUGCUUUGGUGUAUUAUUAUUGGCUUAAUUGUUGCAUAUAUACAUUCAGUUAUCGCAGGACAAUACAACUCGAAUAUGACAUUACUAUUUGGUUUCUUUUCAUGGUUGGGAGUUUUCCUUGCAAUUGCUGGACUAGUUAUGUUUUAUAGAUGUAGCAGGAAAGAUCCUGGUUACAUCAACAAGAAUAUAAGAGACUCGCAAACUCAAAGAGAUGAUGAACCUUUGUUGAAGAGGGGUCUAGAUAACCCAGAACUUCUGGCUGGCAAUUGGUCUCAACUAUGUAUUACUUGCAAAAUUGUGAGGCCCAUACGCUCAAAACACUGCUCUACAUGUGAUCGCUGUGUUGAGCAAUUUGAUCAUCACUGCCCUUGGGUUUCAAAUUGCAUCGGAAAGAAGAACAAAUGGGAGUUCUUUAUGUUUCUUAUCCUAGAAGUUUCUGCGAUGAUCAUUACUGCUGCAACGGCUGUCAUAAGAGUCGCAGGUGAUCCAGGCUCUCCAGCAUCGUUUGAUGGAUGGCUUAACUAUUCAGCUAUGAACCAUCCUUGGGUGGUGUCUUUUGUUAUAAUGGAUCUCUUCCUUUUCUUCGGCGUUAUAACUCUAACAGUAGUUCAAGCAUCACAGAUAUCCGGGAAUAUAACAACAAAUGAGAUGGCAAAUGCCAUGAGGUACAGUUAUCUCAGAGGCCCAGGUGGUCGGUUCAGAAAUCCAUUUGAUCACGGGGUGAGGAAGAAUUGUUCUGACUUCUUCCUGAAGGGGUACAAUGAGGAUAUUGAGAAGGUAGAACAGACGUCACAUCCUGACGAGGAAAUGGCAAUUAUUCACAUGACAAGAGGUGCAGUCUCGCAGAAUGGUGAGAGCGUGCCACUUCAUGCUAAUGGUGCUGACCAUGUUUGUGCUGACUCACAAACCAACUCAAAAUCGCAUCGCCAAGUUAGUUCGUCUAAAUGUUGCGAUCACACUAAGAAGACUGACAAAACCCCUUUGAGCCUAGGGUUGGGCCUUGGACGAAACAAUCCCUCUAGCCGUUAUGCACGGAAUCUUCUUCCCUUGUGA
rnacentral:rRNA from 1 species